rnacentral:lncRNA from 1 species
CCCACUCCUGUAACCCUCUCUCAUGAUCCCGCCGUCUGUUUUUUCCUGGCCCUUCUCUCCCGUCGUAUGUUUAGUUCUUCCGGUAGCCUUUCUCAGUCUCUCUUUUCUCCUCCCUCGUGCAGUGGACGGAAUCAUCCUUGUCAUCUCUGGUCGUCUCUACAUCUCUGCAUCUCUGCAUCUCUAUUCUCCAAAUUCCACUCCAGGUUCGAUUUUGCAUCUUAAUUUGGCUAUUUAUAUGUAAGAUUUUGGCUAUUUCCUAAAUAAGUUCAGUUAUUGUUUUUUCAUUUUAAGUUAUGUUACUGCUUUAAUCGAUCUCCGCAAGAACAAAGUUUUACUGUACUUAGAAUUGCAAGAUGGUGUUGAUUUAGAUUCAUUGUGGAAGGGAAUUUAGAGGUUAAAAAAGGAUGAGGAUAUGGAUUUUGGGAAGCCUAGGAUGGGGAUGCAUAUUUAUAUAUCCUGUCGAAUUGGAGAGAAAGAAAAAGGUCUAGAGAGAGUUCGAUUAGAGAGGAUACGAAAAGGGAGAUCGGGGUUACUGAAGAACAUGUGGGUUUAUGAUUCCAAAUCCUAUUGACCUGCAGCUUUUAAGGCUCUGGUCAUUAUUCCCAGAACUUGUUUCCAUGGUUAUUUCUAUGAAUGCUGUUAGGGAAACCUAGUUUUAUAUGCAAAUGUCUCUGCAAGCUUUUCUAUGCAAAUACUUAUUUGAUACAAUAACUAGUUUUACAUGCAGAGACCUAAACCCUAGUUUGGUAUAAAAGCUGAAACGCAUGUUUUGUAUGAUAUGGAUUGAUCAAGUGGAGUCGAUUUGUCCAUUAUAUAUUAGUCAGGGCCAUUUUUAUGCAGAUACUUGCUUUGAUCUAUUAUAUGUAGAAGUUGUUGGUCGAAUGCAAAAGACUGAUAUGCUUAUUAAGUACCUUUUCUACUGCAUAUAUAUGUAUGGAUAUAUGUGUAUUGUUAAAGAAGCAUGUUGGUAAUCAGUGUUUAUACUUUUAGCAUGCUUAUACUCUCCACUGACAUGAUAUACAUACAUAUAUAUAUAUAUAUAUAUAUAUAUAUGUGUGUGUGUGUGUGUGUGUGUGUGUGUGUGUGGAACGAAGCAUAUGUUAGAGUACUUAGUACUGAUUACUCAUAUUGCAUAUAUGUAUAGUAAUGUCAAAGCUUUUAUAUAACUAUUAAGUGUUUUGAGUAUGACAUUUCUAUUUUAAACCAUUGUAACAAAUUUACGUCGUUGGUGACGAUUCUUUGAUACAAUUAUUAGUUUAUAUAUAUUAGAGAGUGAUGGGUGGAUCUAUGCAUCAUGAAAUUGAACACUUAACUUUUCCUGGAGGUUGGGUUAUGGGUGGAUCUACCUUACUCAACUCUUCAGCCAAUUUCUUUUAAAUUACCAUUGUCUUAUAUCAGUGUUGUUAUUUGAAUUGUAAGUUGUACUAAAAUAAUGUCUAUACUAGGCAUGUUUAAUUAGUCACUUCAUUGCUUAGUAAUAUCCAUUAUUGGUGUGUGUUAUUGUUCGUUCAUGCUUCUAUCUAUAAAUUGGAUUGAGUUCGGAUGUUCCUAGAAUCCUACCUGUUUAAAAAGCUAUUAAUUAAUUUAUACCCAUUUUGUUUCAGAAGCAAUGGAUGCUAGAGAUUCAGAUUCAGUAAACCUUAGUGAUGAGGAGUCCAUGGAGAUUAUAAUGGGAACAAAACGAGAUUUUGGAAGCGAAAGUAUAGACAAUACAAAUACGAGUCUUGCAAAGAAAAAGGCUAGAGCAAUCAAUUUAGGUAAGUGAAAAUAUACUUUAAAGAAAAAUGUGUUUUUAUGUUUUGGAUGUGACAAUAUGGUAUGUAUAUACUUAUUUAGUAUUAUGUUUUUCAUUUGAUUAUUUAUUGGUUUAAAAUAUUUUCCUUAACAGGUAAUAGGUCUGGUCAUAUUACAUGUUAAUAUUAUCGGAUCAAUUUCAGGUCGGGUCAUUUUACCCGUUUAUUUUAACGGGUGUUACACGACACGACCCGUUAAGAUAUCGAGUAUGACACGAAAAUGACAUGAACAAUGAAAACACAACAUGAAUGUCAGGUCUAAUGCCAGCGAUCGGCCAUUUCUGAAGGCAAUCACGUCAAUCUCCACCACCAAAACACUUCUCUUGAGGUCUGGAACAAAGCCCAAGCCGUGGUAGAAGAGUCAAAGCUCACAUGGAAAUCGAAUCAAAGCACACCCAAAACUAGGGUUCUGACCGUUCAUGGGAAAAUUUUGACGUUUCUCGGCCGAAUUGGACUUGGCCACAUGUAUAAAACUUGAUCUACUCGUUGAGAUCUUCAUUCCUGUAAAAUUUGAGAAUUUUUUGAAAUAGUUGAAUUUUCUGAUGAGCCUAGGCGGUGCGUGGGCUGCGACCCUACCUGCCCUUCCUAGACUAAUUUGGAUACCCUAAUUCCAUAUGUGACGUUCGAUUGACGAAAUCUCAUUGUAAGACUAUAGUUUUGAUAGAGA